ACUGGUUCAUCCAGGAUCAAAAUUCAUGAUGAAAGUGUCCCAUUUCCCUCCCCUCCCUUUUCUUCUGUUGACUCCUUCCAUCUUCUUCUUUUCUAGGGCUACAAAGUAAAAAGUGCCUUCAGUGCAGACCAAGAGAAGGAGGAAGUGGCUGUAGAGCUAGAUCGUUCAGGAUCUAACUUUCUGUGGAAACCGAGACAAACAUUUGUACUACACAAAGAAGAUUGCUGUUCCCAUCUGCUUCAUGCAGCAAAUUGGAUAAAACACCCAAGAAGAAAUUUUCCUAUCCCCAAAUCAGAAUGGACUUUACAGUGGUUUGUUGCGAGCCAUCCCGAAGUCCCAAAGGAAGGGAAGCUGCAGAGUGAAUCAGAUCCUGCAGCUAAUACAUAAGAAGAAGCUGUGCCCACAGCACUUCCUCCGACUGCAUUGGCACAGUCCAGGCACACUCGUGUUUGGACACCAGGACAGACCCAGCUGCAUCUGGUGUCUAUAUACUUCAGAGACAAGAUCUUGCUGCCCAGACGACCAGAGAGCUCAAAGAACCUUCCCUGCCGUACAUACAGCCCUUCCCUCAUGUGGAACUUCACUUCCUGGGUCACCAGGAAGCAACACAAGACAGUGCUCUUUUACAGAAUUGAAAGUAGUUUCACGGGGACAUCGUGCUAACACUCAUUCCCCACCCCCCACAACCAUCCCACUAUCUACUGUGAUCAAACAGGUUUUUUAUCUUCUGUGAUGCAAACACUCCCUUGUCCUGACAUGCUGUCUUGCCAUUAGAGACAGGGUGGAGAUCGCUGGUGACGCUUUCACUAACACAACGGUACUGCUACAUUACAAAUAGUAUCCCAACCAGCACACAUAAGAAUAUGAUCGCAGCCACACUUAAAACUUUACAUAUUGCAGUCCUCUUUUCUGCCUCGCAUGUGGAUCAUCACACUUUCUGAUUUGUUGAUUUUACAUUUAUAUCCCAUUUAUUUUCCAUCAUGGAACCCAAGGUGCAUGUGUGCAUGUGGUUUCCAGGAAGUCACUGUUUCAGGUAGCAACCAGACCUGGACCAGCUUAGCUUCAGCAAGAUGGUGGCCUCAUCCUCUGGUGCCUGCAGAUCACCCCCUGGGUAUGCUAUAGGCAUGACAUUAGAACCAGGUUAAAAGGCUUCUGAAUGAAACAUUCACUCUGAUGAGUGUUGCAUAUAUGCAAUGGGUACCUAUAUGCAAUGGGUGAAGAGAAUUGGGUGGGGAGAGGGGAUAAAUAUAUGUGCUGCAAGACAUCAACUGGUUUGUCAGAUACUAUUAUGCAGGACUGAAAAUGAGGCAGCAAAAGGAGUAGAGUUCAAUGCACUCUUUGCCCUGGGAAAAUCCUCCAUGGACAGCAAUUUAAGCACCACAGCUGCAACUAAUGUUGUGCUAUAAUGCUGGAUAUCUCAUAGUUUGUGCAACUCACUUACUCUGCAUGACAUUAUUUGCAUGAAAUAGCACACCAUAGUAAUUACAAUUUAGCAGUCAAAUUAGAAAGAUUUUGAUUAUAAUGACUUUGCAUGACACAGUACCCAGCAUGAAACACCAGACAAGCAUUUUCAUUAAGGGUAUGCAAAUACCACCAUGGGACAGGGAUGAGCUUUAGUGCUUUGUUAUUAUUAUUGAUUUACAAAAAUAGAACUUUGGUUGAUAAA